rnacentral:rRNA from 1 species
AUGUCGGAGUCUAGCAGGGCGUUCAAUGUCGACGGCGCCGGGCAGCCGGCCGACGGGGCGCGGGGAGGAGGGAAGCGGCGCCCGGGCGCGGGCGGCGGCGGGAGCGUGCCGUUCCACAGGCUGUUCGCGUUCGCGGACGGCGCCGACGCGGCGCUGAUGCUGGUCGGCGCGGUCGGCGCGGUGGCCAACGGCGCCGCGCUGCCGCUCAUGACGGUUCUGUUUGGCGGCCUCGUCGACGCCUUCGGCGGCGCGGCCGGCGGCAGCGGCGACGUCCUGGCCCGCGUUUCCCAGGUCUCCCUCGAGUUCGUCUACCUCGCCAUCGCCUCGGCCGUCGCCUCCUUCGCCCAGGUGACCUGCUGGAUGAUCACCGGCGAGCGGCAGGCGGCGCGGAUACGGAACAUGUACCUGAGGACCAUACUCAGGCAGGAGAUCUCCUUCUUCGACAUGUACACCAGCACCGGCGAGGUCGUGGGGCGCAUGUCCGGCGACACGGUGCUCAUCCAGGACGCCAUGGGGGAAAAGGUCGGCAAGUUCAUCCAGCUGAUGGUGACGUUCUUUGGAGGCUUCGCUGUGGCCUUCGCGCAGGGAUGGCUCCUCACCCUCGUCAUGGUGGCCACCAUCCCGCCGCUCGUCCUCUCCGGCGCGGUCAUGUCCAAUGUCGUCGCCAGGAUGGCGUCGCUGGGGCAGGCCGCCUACGCCGAAGCCGCGGUCGUCGUCGAGCAGACCGUCGGCUCCAUCAGAACAGUUGCAUCUUUCACUGGGGAGAAGAAAGCGGUGGAGAAGUACAACAAGUCGCUUAAGUGCGCUUACAGUUCCGGUGUCCGGGAAGGCCUAGUCGCUGCCAUCGGCAUGGGCACCGUCAUGAUGCUCCUGUUCUGCGGCUACUCCCUGGGGGUAUGGUAUGGAGCCAAGCUGAUCCUAGAGAAGGGAUACACAGGUGCCCAGGUCAUGAAUGUCAUCUUCGCGGUGCUUACCGGCUCACUAGCUCUAGGACAGGCGUCACCAAGCAUGAAAGCAUUCGCAGGAGGACAGGCUGCAGCAUACAAGAUGUUUGAAACAAUCAACAGGGAGCCCGAAAUCGAUGCAUACAGCACAGAGGGUAGGAUGCUAGACGACAUUCAGGGGGAUAUUGAGUUCAGAGAUGUUCACUUCUCUUACCCAACAAGGCCCAAUGAGCAAAUAUUCAGAGGUUUCUCCCUUACCAUACAGAGUGCCAAAACCGUUGCAUUGGUUGGCCAGAGUGGGAGUGGAAAAUCAACAGUUAUCAGCUUGAUCGAACGAUUUUACGAUCCUCAGCUCGGAGAAGUUCUAAUAGAUGGAGUGAAUAUCAAGGAGUUGCAGUUAAAGUGGAUCAGAAGUAAAAUUGGCUUAGUGAGCCAGGAGCCGGCCUUGUUUGCUGCAAGCAUAAGAGAUAACAUAGCUUAUGGUAAAGACAAUGCGACAGAUCAGGAAAUCAGAGCUGCGGCUGAGCUUGCUAACGCCUCCAAAUUCAUUGAUAAAUUACCCCAGGGUUUCACUACAUCGGUUGGUGAACAUGGAACACAACUAUCUGGUGGACAAAAGCAAAGAAUUGCCAUUGCCAGAGCGAUUCUCAAAGAUCCAAGAAUCCUGCUUUUGGACGAAGCGACAAGCGCUUUGGACACCGAAUCUGAAAGGAUUGUGCAGGAGGCUCUUGAUAGGGUCAUGACAAAUCGGACCACUGUCAUAGUUGCACACCGUUUGACCACUGUAAGGAAUGCUGAUACAAUUGCUGUCAUCUGCCGAGGAUCAAUAGUUGAAAAAGGUCCACACCAUGACCUUUUGAGGGACCCAGAAGGAGCUUACAGCCAACUGAUACGCCUACAGGAAACAAGUCAUGCUUCUGAGGGUGCAAGCAAUCAGAACAAGUCAGGUAGGAAGAGUGAUACUGGGAUUAGGUUAGGCAAACAAUUGUUGGUAAAUCAGUCAAAUAGCCAAAGGUCAUCUCGGGAUAACAGUAGCCACCACUCAUUCUCAGUGCCAUUCGGCAUACCUCAUGAAAUUGAUGUUCAGGUUGGCUGCUCGAAGAACAUAACUGAUGAAAUACAACAGGAAGUGCCCCUCAGUCGCCUGGCAUCCCUUAACAAACCAGAGGUCCCAGUGCUUAUACUUGGUUCUGUUGCUUCUGCUAUCAGCGGAGUGAUAUUCCCGAUCUUUGCAAUACUUUUGUCGAAUGUGAUCAAAGCAUUCUAUGAGCCCCCAGAAAUGCUAAAGAAGGAUGCUGCGUUUUGGUCAUCCAUGUUCUUGAUAUUUGGUGCAGUGUACUUCGUGUCACUCCCUGUCGGCUCAUACUUUUUCUCGGUGGCUGGGUGCAAGCUCAUCAGAAGAAUCAGACUAAUGACUUUUGAAAAGGUGGUCAAUAUGGAGAUUGGAUGGUUUGAUGACCCACAUAACUCAAGUGGCUCAAUUGGGUCAAGGCUAUCGUCGGAUGCAGCAAAAGUUAGGGGGCUCGUGGGUGAUACACUUCAACUGGUUGUGCAAAACUCUGCAACAUUAGUUGCUGGCCUGGUAAUUGCUUUCGUAUCAAACUGGGAGCUAUCUCUUAUCAUUUUGGCGUUGAUACCACUCAUCGGCCUAAAUGGAUGGAUCCAGAUGAAAUUUAUCCAGGGAUUCAGUGCAGAUGCAAAGAUGAUGUACGAGGAGGCAAGUCAAGUGGCAAAUGAUGCAGUAAGUAGCAUAAGGACAGUGGCCUCAUUUUCUGCUGAAGAGAAGGUGAUGGAUUUGUACAACAAAAAGUGCGAAGGACCGCUACAAACAGGAAUCAGGACAGGAAUAAUAAGUGGUAUUGGUUUUGGAGUUUCCUUCUUUUUGCUGUUUGGAGUCUACGCAGCAAGCUUCUAUGCUGGUGCUCGGCUUGUCGAGGAUAAGAAAACAACAUUUCCCAAAGUUUUCAGGGUGUUUCUUGCUCUCACAAUGGCAGCAAUCGGGGUAUCGCACACUAGCACCCUCACCUCAGAUUCCUCCAGAGCAAGAUCAGCUGUAUCUUCUAUAUUCGCCAUCGUGGACCGUAAAUCGAUGAUUGACCCAAGCGAUGACGCCGGGGUGAAUUUAGAACCACUAAGGGGCGAUAUUGAGUUUCGGCACGUGCGGUUCAGAUACCCGACCCGCCCUGACAUCCAGAUCUUCGAAGACCUAUGCUUGACAAUCCAGUCAGGAAAGACUGUCGCGCUUGUCGGGGAGAGUGGCAGCGGUAAAUCGACGGCGAUAGCGCUGCUGCAGAGAUUCUACGAUCCUGACGCGGGCCACAUACUUCUGGACGGGGUGGACAUCCAGAAGUUCCAGGUGAGGUGGCUGAGGCAGCAGAUGGGGCUGGUGAGCCAAGAGCCAGCCCUCUUCAACGACACCAUCCGAGCAAACAUUGCAUACGGGAAGGAAGGGGAGGCCACGGAAUCAGACAUCGUAUCUGCCGCACAACUGGCGAAUGCCCACAAGUUCAUCAGCUCGCUCCAUCAGGGGUACGACACGGUGGUCGGGGAGCGCGGCGCUCAGCUGUCGGGAGGGCAGAAGCAGCGGGUGGCGAUCGCACGGGCCGUGGCCAAGGACCCCAGGAUCCUGCUGCUGGACGAGGCGACGAGCGCGCUGGACGCGGAGUCGGAGCGGGCGGUGCAGGACGCGCUGGACCGGGUGGCGGCGAGCCGGACGACGGUGGUGGUGGCGCACCGCCUGUCGACGGUCCGGGGCGCCGACGUGAUCGCGGUGGUGAAGGACGGCGCGAUCGUCGAGAGGGGCACGCACGACGCCCUGAUCGCCGUCAAGGGCGGCGCCUACGCGUCCCUCGUCGCCCUCCACUCCGCGUCGUCGGCGUCGUCGUAG